rnacentral:pre_miRNA from 1 species
AUCACCAAGCGGUCUUGUUAAAAUGCAAAUUCUAACUUGGCAAUUAUCUGGUGGGCCCAAGAUUCUGCAUUUCUAACAAGCCCCCAGGUGGUGCUGU